rnacentral:rRNA from 1 species
GACGAACGCUGGCGGCGUGCCUAAUACAUGCAAGUUGAGCGAUGAAGAUUGGUGCUUGCACCAAUUUGAAGAGCAGCGAACGGGUGAGUAACGCGUGGGGAAUCUGCCUUUGAGCGGGGGACAACAUUUGGAAACGAAUGCUAAUACCGCAUAACAACUUUAAACAUAAGUUUUAAGUUUGAAAGAUGCAAUUGCAUCACUCAAAGAUGAUCCCGCGUUGCAUUAGCUAGUUGGUGAGGUAAAGGCUCACCAAGGCGAUGAUACAUAGCCGACCUGAGAGGGUGAUCGGCCACAUUGGGACUGAGACACGGCCCAAACUCCUACGGGAGGCAGCAGUAGGGAAUCUUCGGCAAUGGACGAAAGUCUGACCGAGCAACGCCGCGGGAGUGAAGAAGGGUUUCGGAUCGUAAAACUCUGUUGGUAGAGAAGAACGUUGGUGAGAGUGGAAAGCUCAUCAAGUGACGGUAACUACCCAGAAAGGGACGGCUAACUACGUG